UAUACACCGUGUACGUCGCCUGGGUAAUACGACGGGGGCAAUAGUUAAGCGGAAUUACGGUGCGUAAAGCGCACGCAGGAGUGUGUAUAAGUUAUCUGUGAAAGACCCGGGCUCAACCUGGGAAUUGAAUUUACACCUGUCAAGCUAGAUGCUUGUAGAGGGGUGUAGAAUUGCGUGUGUAGCGGUGAAAUGCGUAGAGAUCUGGCGGAAUACCGGUGGCGAAGGCGGCCCCCUGGACAAAGACUGACGCUCAGGUGCGAAAGCGUGGGGAGCAAACAGGAUUAGAUACCCUAGUAGUC
rnacentral:rRNA from 1 species